rnacentral:rRNA from 1 species
UACGUAGGGGGCUAGCGUUGUCCGGAUUUAUUGGGCGUAAAGCGCACGUAGGCGGACCGCUAAGUCGGAUGUGAAAGCCCUCGGCUUAACCGAGGAAGUGCAUUCGAAACUGACGGUCUUGAGUAUGGAAGAGGGUCGCGGAAUUCCCGGUGUAGAGGUGAAAUUCGUAGAUAUCAGGAGGAACACCAAUAGCGAAGGCAGCUCGCUGGGACGGUACUGACACUGAGGCGCGAAAGCGUGGGGAGCGAACAGGG